rnacentral:rRNA from 1 species
ACAACGCUGGCGGCGUGCUUAAUACAUGCAGUCGAGCGAACAGAAGGGAGCUUGCUCCCGGAUGUUAGCGGCGGACGGGUGAGUAACACGUGGGUACCUGCCUGUAAGACUGGGAUAACUCCGGGAAACCGGAGCUAAUACCGGAUAGUUCCUUGAACCGCAUGGUUCAAGGAUGAAAGACGGUUUCGGCUGUCACUUACAGAUGGACCCGCGGCGCAUUAGCUAGUUGGUGGGGUAAUGGCUCACCAAGGCGACGAUGCGUAGCCGACCUGAGAGGGUGAUCGGCCACACUGGGACUGAGACACGGCCCAGACUCCUACGGGAGGCAGCAGUAGGGAAUCUUCCGCAAUGGACGAAAGUCUGACGGAGCAACGCCGCGUGAGUGAUGAAGGUUUUCGGAUCGUAAAGCUCUGUUGUUAGGGAAGAACAAGUGCGAGAGUAACUGCUCGCACCUUGACGGUACCUAACCAGAAAGCCACGGCUAACUACGUGCCAGCAGCCGCGGUAAUACGUAGGUGGCAAGCGUUGUCCGGAAUUAUUGGGCGUAAAGGGCUCGCAGGCGGUUUCUUAAGUCUGAUGUGAAAGCCCCCGGCUCAACCGGGGAGGGUCAUUGGAAACUGGGAAACUUGAGUGCAGCAAGAGGAGAGUGGAAUUCCACGUGUAGCGGUGAAAAUGCGUAGAGAUGUGGAGGAACACCAGUGGGCGAAGCGACUCUCUGGGUCUGUAACUGACGCUGAGGAGCGAAAAGCGUGGGGAGCGAACCGGAUUAAUACCCUGGGUAGUCACCGCCCGUAAACGAUGAGUGCGCUA